UGGGGAAUAUUGGACAAUGGGCGAAAGCCUGAUCCAGCCAUGCCGCGUGUGUGAAGAAGGCCUUUUGGUUGUAAAGCACUUUAAGUGGGGAGGAAAAGCUUAUGGUUAAUACCCAUAAGCCCUGACGUUACCCACAGAAUAAGCACCGGCUAACUCUGUGCCAGCAGCCGCGGUAAUACAGAGGGUGCAAGCGUUAAUCGGAAUUACUGGGCGUAAAGCGCGCGUAGGUGGUUAUUUAAGUCAGAUGUGAAAGCCCCGGGCUUAACCUGGGAACUGCAUCUGAUACUGGAUAACUAGAGUAGGUGAGAGGGGAGUAGAAUUCCAGGUGUAGCGGUGAAAUGCGUAGAGAUCUGGAGGAAUACCGAUGGCGAAGGCAGCUCCCUGGCAUCAUACUGACACUGAGGUGCGAAAGCGUGGGUAGCAAACAGGAUUAGAUACCCUGGUAGUCCACGCCGUAACGAUGUCUACCAGUCGUUGGGUCUUUUAGACUUAGUGACGCAGUUAACGCAAUAAGUAGACCGCCUGGGGAGUACGGCCGCAAGGUU
rnacentral:rRNA from 1 species